rnacentral:lncRNA from 1 species
GUUUUGAUUUCACCAUAUCAUUAUUCACAUAAUAUCUGUUUAUGCCUGUAUUUUCAGGUUUCCCAUUACCUCCCGGUGCCCCUCCUCCUAUGAUACCACCAUUAGAUAGUAGACGUUUGGCGGGAGGCUAUGAUCGACGCUCAGCUACAUCUUACCUAUUCUCCGCAGGUGUGUAUUCACCUGCAGUGGGCAUGGCUUUAUGGUCAGGUGUGAUAGACAGUGAAAAAGCAUGGGAAAACUACAACCGCCAUAACAAAGAAAGGGUGAGAGAGAAAACCAGAGAAAGAGGACACAAGAAAGAGCGGGAGAGAGAACGGUAUAGAGAAACAGAUAGAGAACACAGUCCGUCCUCACAAGAUCACAGAAGUGAGGAGGAGCGUGUGUCUCGACACAGGGAUCACAGUCAUUAUGGAAGCAAGAGGUACAGGGAAAGCUCAGGAAGAGACGGAAUGAGAGACAGAUAUCGAGAAAGACGACACCGGGACAGGAAUGAACAACACAGAUCCUCACACAGUGGCAGCAGUAGGAGGCGUCAUGAUAGUGAUGACGCAGAUAGCCACAGGAGACACAGGCACAAACGCUCUAGACACAACCGAGGAAGCCUUGAGCCCAGCGAGGAGUGCAGUGUGGACCAGGAGAACCAGUCAGAGGCCACAGAAUAACUCCCUGGCCAGCUGGUGAGCCCAUUUGUUGACCAGUUGGAGGUCUUUAGUGAAAGAUCAUUAGUCUCAUCACCAGUCAGAGCAUGAGUAAACAACUGUGAAUAGAUUUUGAUUAAUCGUAUGCCAAACACACUUGAUAAGCCAAUUUAUGGUACCGUUUUAGCAAUUUAACAUUUCAUUUUUUGAAAAUAUGAUUUAAAAAAGUAAAAUGUGGUCAAAAGAG